rnacentral:rRNA from 1 species
CCUACGGGAGGCAGCAGUGAGGAAUAUUGGUCAAUGGCCGCAGGGCUGAACCAGCCAAGUCGCGUGAGGGAUGACGGUCCUAUGGAUUGUAAACCUCUUUUGUCAGGGAGCAAAGGGCGCCACGUGUGGCGUUUUGCGAGUACCUGAAGAAAAAGCAUCGGCUAACUCCGUGCCAGCAGCCGCGGUAAUACGGAGGAUGCGAGCGUUAUCCGGAUUUAUUGGGUUUAAAGGGUGCGCAAGCGGAAUGUCAAGUCAGCGGUAAAAUUUCGGGGCUCAACCCCGUCGUGCCGUUGAUACUGGCGGUCUUGAGUGAGCGAGAAGUAUGCGGAAUGCGUGGUGUAGCGGUGAAAUGCAUAGAUAUCACGCAGAACUCCGAUUGCGAAGGCAGCAUACCGGCGCUCAACUGACGCUCAUGCACGAAAGCGUGGGUAUCGAACAGGAUUAGAUACCCCUGUAGUC